AAAUUGAAGAGUUUGAUCAUGGCUCAGAUUGAACGCUGGCGGCAGGCCUAACACAUGCAAGUCGAACGGUAACAGGAAGCAGCUUGCUGCUUUGCUGACGAGUGGCGGACGGGUGAGUAAGUCUACUCG
rnacentral:rRNA from 1 species